ACUCAAACUACGAACCAGGGAUAAGCAGGAAAUGCAAAUAAUAUUUGUAGCUAGAAUUCACUCGUUAGCUAAAGUCAAAGGUAAUUUACGGAACAUUUAUGAACUUUUCAACGUUUGUGUCGAGUAGUAAAGCUUCACCUCAUAGCCAGCUCGUUUUCCAUCGGCAAAUUAAUGCCAAAACAUCUGCUAGCCAGUACACUAUAGUUACUGUUAGCUAGCUAAACUAGAUUAGUUUAUUUGUCACAGAUGUAAUCGCAAGGUACGAGUACAGUGCAAUUCUAAUGAUCCAUGCUACAACAGUGCAGGUCAAAAAAGAGAAGGGAAUGAGAUAAUAGAAUUUAGGGUAUGGAAUGACCAUAAGGGGAGCACGACCCACGAACCCCCACCACACAGCCGAGAGCUUGGGUGGCACCAACCCCAGUUCAGCCCCCCAAAUCACAACCAGCACCAGGACAUCAGACAGGGCAGGUGAGCCCUUCAGUCCAUACAGACAAGGACAGUUCAUGAAGAAACACAAGGUCUACACAUGAGAAAGAGCUGUUUCACUGUCACCUAAAAUCCAUUUGAACAACAAAUCAUUUUAAUUUUGGUAUUUUAAUUCAUAUGUUCAGUAUAUAGGAAUCUCUUGUUGCUGCUAAAUGCAAAUACAUAUUUGCAUGUGCAUCUACUAGUAACCCUCUGUUCUGAUUUGAUAUGUUUUGAUCACAUAUCUGAAUUCUAAGAUUUCUAAGGUGCUUCUACACCUGCAUUGCUUGCUGUUUGGGGUUUUAGGCUGGGUUUCUGUACAGCACUUUGAGAUAUCAGCUGAUGUACGAAGGGCUAUAUAAAUAAAUUUGAUUACAUUCCUUCUCAAUGUUA